rfam:Oryza punctata chromosome 1, whole genome shotgun sequence.
GAAGAAGAGGAGGAGCUCCCUUUCGAUCCAAUUCAGGAGAGGAAGUGGUAGGACGCAGCUGCCGGUUCAUGGAUACCUAUGGAGUGCAUGGCUAGUAAUGUUAAUGUUGGAGGCCUGUACUUGCAUGGGUUUGCAUGACCCGGGAGAUGAACCCGGCAUUGUCUUCCUCUAUUGAUUGGAUUGAAGGGAGCUCCAGCUACAUCUCUC